rnacentral:lncRNA from 1 species
AUGAGAGAGAAACAGCAAGUGUGUGCUCAGAGGCGUGCUGUGAAAGCAGAAUCAUGGGGCCGGAGGGGCUGCAGGAGGGAAGGGAAGCGGCAGGCUGGCCGGCCGGCGCCCAGAGCUGGGGCAGCAGACUUGGGCUGCUCCGGAGCUGGGUCCUGCUGGAUGCUGAGAAUGGCCACACAUGCCUUCUGGCCGCUUGACCUCAGAUCUCCGGAGAACAGAGACUCACUCUCUGCUAGACCCUCUGCACUCACUCAGCCGUUUUGUACGCUGUCCCUUCAACCAGGAACCCGUUUGUGUGGUCAGAGUGUUAAACCAUCAUCCUUUCAAGAUGUGCAGACUGCUGUACUGAGAAGCGCUGUAAGGUUCAGAGCUGGACCAGGUGUAGGUCAAGGUCGAGCAUCUAUUCAACCUACAGCAGGUCUUGAAAGGGCCUUUGUAAUAUCUCGUCUCACCUGGGGGCAGCGCUGCCGUGUGAACUGAGUACAUCAGCACAUCCUCACUGGGGAACCGAAUGGCCAUGAAUUUAGAACAUUUGGUGAGAAGACCUGGGCCCUGGAUCGGAAGGUCUGCUGGGGCAUCGGGUCCCCCACAGGCCAUGUGAUGGUGUGACAAUGAGAAAGUCACUUGAUAACCCCAGUGGAGGUCACACCUCCCUCCCCAGCUCUCUGGCAUCACAAAGUACCCUGAGAUGUUGGAGAAACACACUGGGCAGAGCUGUGCCCCCUCAAAACCCCCAGGUCGAAGCCCUGAUCCCAAGACCUCAGAAUGUGGCUGUAUUUGAGGACAGGCUCUCCGAGGGAGAUUCACGCACGGCGAGGCCGGCAGGGUGGGCCCGAAGGCAUCCUGACUGGUGUCCUCUAAGAAGAUAUUUGGACACACCCCAAAAUGCCAGGGAUGCCCCCGAGGAGGGACCGCAUGAGGACACGGGGAGAAGUUGGCUGUCUGCGCCCAGGAGAGAGGACCCAGGAGGAGCCUAUGUGGGAGUUCCUGUUGUGGCUCAGCAGUUAUGAACCCACCUAGUACCUGUGAGGACAAGGGUUCAAUCCCUGGCCUCGCUCAGUGGGUUAAGGAUCUGGCGUUGCCAUGAGCUUCAGUGUAGUUUGCAGACGUGGCUCGGAUCUGGCGUGGCUGUGGCUGUGGUGUAGGCCGGCAGCUGCAGCUCCGACUUGCCCCCUAACCUGGGAACUUCUAUUUGCCGCAAGUAUGGCCCUAAGAAGCAAAAAGGAAAAAAAAGAAGGAAGCUAUGUGGCCCUUGACCUUGGGCUUCCGGUCUCCAGGUUGGGAGAAAUGAAUUUCUGCUGUUUCAGGCACCUCAUCAGGGGUUUACUGUAGUCUGAGCAAACUUAACACAAGUCAAGAAAGAAACAAAACCAGAAAUAACGACACUGACGCAUCCCUUUAUUGAGGGGGCUGCUGUCCUCGAAGAAGGAGGGGCUGGAGACGAGAGCUCUGCUCCUGCUCGGUCUCCGGCUCGCCUGGU